rnacentral:rRNA from 1 species
UAGGGAAGUUUUCGUCAAUGGGCGCAAGCCUGAACGAGCAAUGCCGCGUGAACGAGGAAGGUCUUCGGAUCGUAAAGUUCUGUUGAAGGGGAAAAAGAGCGGAGAGAGGAAAUGCUUUCUGAUUGAUAUUACCCUUCGAGGAAGUCACGGCUAACUACGUGCC